rnacentral:ncRNA from 1 species
AGCAACUGGACACUGGUGUCGCCUUACAGGAGGGGGCAUCAAACCACCUAAAGGUGCUGUGUUUAAGAGGCAUGGUGCUGAGCGUUUAGGAAAAGAUAUAGCACGAUUAUAUCAGGU